GCGAGGAUAGCUCAGUUGGUAGAGCAACCGGCUGCAGUCCGGUAGGUCAUGUGUUCGAAUCACGUUUCUCGCU
rnacentral:tRNA from 1 species